AGCCUGAUCCAGCAAUGCCGCGUGAGUGAUGAAGGCCUUCGGGUUGUAAAGCUCUUUUACCCGGGAAGAUAAUGACCGUACCAGUAGAAUAAGCUCCGGCUAACUCCGUGCCAGCAGCCGCGGUAAUAC
rnacentral:rRNA from 1 species